UUUUAUUAAUUUAUAUCCUUAAUUAAAUUUUCAAAAACAACAAAAAAAUAAUUAGUAUUACCCCCGACCGUGCAGGGGCUGUAUAGCCAGUCAAGGUCGUUAAAAACUUCCAUUUGUUGACUUCUUUCCAAUAAAUACAUAGGCUCAAAUAAAACAAAACAUCAUAUUCAUAUUGCUGAUACAUGUAAUAGUUAUCAAAAGUACCAGGAUUAUAAUUUAAUACGCCAGACGCGCGUUUCGUCUACAUAAGACUCAUCAGUGACGCUCAGAUCAAAAAAGUUAAAAAUCCAAAAGUACAAAGUUGAAGAGCAUUGAGGACCCAAAAUGUAACCCAGACAGCUUGAAGGACACCGGAUUUUGAUAAAUUUACAAAUACAAUUCAUAAGCUAAAACUACAUAAAUAAAUAAUAAAAAUCAUCUCUUUCAUCGACAAUAUACCACCAGCCAGGAACAACCAACUAAAACGAGAUAAAAAUGCUAAAUAUAUAGUGGGAAAAUUGUCACCAAGACUGUUGAGUAGAAAGUGAAGAGGUUUUCAAAAUAUUAUCCCGCAAAUGUAAAUAUAAAGAAGAAACUGAAAGGCAGACAAUUACAAGUAUAUGAAAUAUACGAAAAUACGACCAGUUCACGGGACACUGCAAACAACUUUAAAGACUUAUCAACACGAACCCCGCCAUGAACUGAAUUAUUUCAGUUCUUACAUUAACAAACAAUAAGCAGAAUAAAUAAAGGCAACAGUAGUAUACCGCUGUUCGAAACUCAUAAAUUCAUGGACAAAAAACAAAAUCGGGGUAACAAACUAAAACCGAGGGAAACGCAUUAAAUAUAAGAGGAGAACAACGACAUCACACUAAAAUGUAACACACAUAGACAAAAUCCCACGAGAAUAACAAAUAUAACAUAUAUAUAUAUAACAUCAAAACCAAAUACAUGAAUUUGGGAUAGACAAGUACCGUGACACGUCUUAUCGCAAUGUGAAUUUACACUCAAAAAUAAGAGAAAACAAACGACACAACGUUAUAAUGUAAUACACAC
rnacentral:lncRNA from 1 species